rnacentral:rRNA from 1 species
UACGUAGGGGGCAAGCGUUGUCCGGAAUCAUUGGGCGUAAAGAGCGUGUAGGCGGUUCGGUAAGUCCGCUGUGAAAGUCCAGGGCUCAACCCUGGAAUGCCGGUGGAUACUGCCGGGCUAGAGUCCGGAAGAGGCGAGUGGAAUUCCUGGUGUAGCGGUGAAAUGCGCAGAUAUCAGGAGGAACACCGAUGGCGAAGGCAGCUCGCUGGGACGGUACUGACGCUGAGACGCGAAAGCGUGGGGAGCAAACAGG